UUUGCAGCUUUCGUGGGCUCGCCACGUGCCCAGGAGUGAUUCACGGCUGAGGCCUGACAGUCAGGGGGAGGACGGGAGCAGCGAAAGGAAAAUGCUGGAGCUGCGCUUCUCGGCUCCAGGCUUAGGCAGGCAUUUCGGGUCUGACCUCCCAAACGCUUGUUUGCGAGCGUAAAAUCCGUGACCCCCCUGUCCUGGGCCACCCGAACUUUGCCCAGGAGCAGGGCUUGGCAGCCCUGGCGCCUCGCAUAGCUCCGGUGCGAGCGGAGGGCUCCAAACAAGAUAAGGCUGUGAUUCAGAAAUGCCCGUUAAUAACAGGCAGAUGAGAUAAGAGCCCCACGGAGCUGCGUGCAGCGCCUCUCCACAUGCUGCUGACACACGAGGUACCCCUUUGGAUGGAAAAAUGCAUGAGAACAUCACGGCACCGACCUGGGGACAAGAUCGAGGAAGGGGAGGCGUCGGAGCUUGCAGCCCAGAUGCCAACCUGCAGAAUUUGUCUGCUCUUCCCUCCCCUGCCUCCACCUCUGGCUGGGAGCCUGUCAAAAAUACAGCUGUGAAGAGGAAGCAGGUCUUUAAAAACAAAGGAGACAGCCUGUGGGCUCCCCAAGCGCUCCCCAGCAGCCCCUGCCCACAAAAACAUCAGUGCAGCCGAGCAGAAGUGACUUGGAGAAAAAAAAAAUGAUUAAAGGGGAAAGUGAAAGGAAGAGAACUGUGCCCCUCCUGGUGGAAGCAGCCCUGAGAUGGCAGUGCCCGCAUCCACGAGUCCUCCUCUGGGCAGCUGGAGCCCAGUUUGGGGCUGGCUGCUGCCUUCAUGUGUGAGCAGGGGGCAGGAUCACGCCUUCCCAAACAGCACAGCCUCUCCUGGCUGGGGCUGUGGAGGGCUCACGGAGCUGGGGAUGGAGCCUGAAAGCAUCCCGUGGCUCCCAGGGGAAAGACUUGGAGAGCUUGGGGUGCAGUGCUGGGACAGCUCAGGACUCCUUGACCCUCCCCAUCGGCGCUCAGCCCCCAGGAGCUGGGAUCGUCCCCCCCAUCAGCUGUGUUUUUAAUUAAAGGCCGGGCUCAAGGCUUUGCACUGCUUCCCAAACAACAAGCAGCUGUGUCAUCAGUGCCUGAGACUGCCGAGGCAUUCCCCAGCGAAAUCCAAGCGUGCCGUGUCACCGAGCUACGGGCACUGAGCCCCACACCGCCUGCACUCAGCGAUGGCCACAUUCACUGCGAGCUUUCUUGGGCUUUCUGCAACAAGAAACAGCGGUGACAAAGGCAGAAGGGCAAGGGCAGGUCUCGGUGUCGUUUCCAGGAAGGCAGAGCUCUUAAAUACAUGUGCAAAUUCCAACCUGAGAUCUCCGUGCCUGGGAAAUUACCCGGAGUACUAAACAACCCAUUAGCUCUGACCCUGGCAUAAUUGAAUCUGGAAAUUUAGUAGAGAGCCUGCCUCUCCUCACAGCGUUGAAGAUAAAGCCUAUCAGAUCGCAGAUAAAUUGCUGGCAUCGGGGAAAUCGUCUGCAGCAAACCUCUGUGCUGCACUCAGAACGUCAGCGGACGUAUUCCCGUGGUGGAGGGCGCAUCAGUCACACAGCACUAUUAGCACAGGGAGUGUUUAAACAGAUCGCAGAUAAGAGUUUGAAGAGGCUGCUCGCUAAGUGCACAGAUAAUCCCACUCUCCUGCACAGGAAAUGGGGGUUUCUUAAAAACAGGCUUCAUUUUGGUCAUUGUUUUCACGAGAAAAUUAAAGGAUUCUGCUCUUGGGUA